UGGAAGUAAAAGUCGUAACAAGGUCUCCGUUGGUGAACCAGCGGAGGGAUCAUUACCGAGUUUACAACUCCCAAACCCAAUGUGAACGUUACCAAACUGUUGCCUCGGCGGGAUCUCUGCCCCGGGUGCGUCGCAGCCCCGGACCAAGGCGCCCGCCGGAGGACCAACCAAAACUCUUAUUGUAUACCCCCUCGCGGGUUUUUUUUAUAAUCUGAGCCUUCUCGGCGCCUCUCGUAGGCGUUUCGAAAAUGAAUCAAAACUUUCAACAACGGAUCUCUUGGUUCUGGCAUCGAUGAAGAACGCAGCGAAAUGCGAUAAGUAAUGUGAAUUGCAGAAUUCAGUGAAUCAUCGAAUCUUUGAACGCACAUUGCGCCCGCCAGUAUUCUGGCGGGCAUGCCUGUCCGAGCGUCAUUUCAACCCUCGAACCCCUCCGGGGGGUCGGCGUUGGGGAUCGGCCCUCCCUUAGCGGGGUGGCCGUCUCCGAAAUACAGUGGCGGUCUCGCCGCAGCCUCUCCUGCGCAGUAGUUUGCACACUCGCAUCGGGAGCGCGGCGCGUCCACAGCCGUUAAACACCCAACUUCUGAAAUGUUGACCUCGGAUCAGGUAGGAAUACCCGC
rnacentral:rRNA from 1 species